rnacentral:rRNA from 1 species
GGAUUAGAUACCCUGGUAGUCCAUGCCGUAAACGAUGUGUGCUAGUUGUCGGAGUCCUUAGGGCUUCGGUGACGCAGAGAAAUCAUUAAGCACACCGCCUGGGGAGUACGGCCGCAAGGUUAAAACUCAAAGGAAUUGACGGGGACCCGCACAAGCGGUGGAGCAUGUUGUUUAAUUCGAAGCAACGCGAAGAACCUUACCCACUCUUGACAUCCUCCUUGGGACUUUCAGAGAUGAUUGUCUUCGGUUCGGCCGGGGGAGUGACAGGUGCUGCAUGGCUGUCGUCAGCUCGUGCCG